rnacentral:rRNA from 1 species
UACGUAGGGGGCAAGCGUUGUCCGGAAUUACUGGGCGUAAAGGGAGCGCAGGCGGUCUUUUAAGUAGGAUGUGAAAUACCCGGGCUUAACCUGGGGGGUGCAUCCUAAACUGGGGGACUUGAGUGUGGGAGAGGAAAGUGGAAUUCCUAGUGUAGCGGUGAAAUGCGUAGAUAUUAGGAGGAACACCAGUGGCGAAGGCGGCUUUCUGGACCAUAACUGACGCUGAGGCUCGAAAGCGUGGGGAGCAAACAGGAUUAGAUACCCUGGUAGUCCACGCUGUAAACGAUGAAUACUAGGUGUAGGGGGUAUCAACUCCCUCUGUGCCGCAGCAAACGCAAUAAGUAUUCCGCCUGGGGAGUACGGUCGCAAGACUGAA